rnacentral:misc_RNA from 1 species
UUCACUGAUCUUCGUCGAUCUCGAUCAGCGCCUUCAAUUCCCCGGCGAGAGAGAUGGAGAGGGUGAAGGAUCUGCUGAAGCCGAAGCCCAACCCGCAGCAGCAGCUCCGCGAAUGGCAGCGCCGCCUCCGCCAGGAAUGCCGCGGUGUUGAGCGCCAAAUCCGAGAUGUGGAGAGGGAGGAGAAGAGCGUCCAGAAAGCGAUAAAG